rnacentral:snRNA from 12 species
AUACUUACCUGGCAGGCGAGAUACCAUGAUCACGAAGGUGGUUCUCCCAGGGCGAGGCUCAGCCAUUGCACUCCGGCUGUGCUGACCCCUGCGAUUUCCCCAAAUGCGGGAAACUCGACUGCAUAAUUUCUGGUAGUGGGGGACUGCGUUCGCGCUUUCCCCUG